rnacentral:rRNA from 1 species
GAUUAGCCUGCGUCCGAUUAGCUAGUUGGUGGGGUAAGGGCCUACCAAGGCGACGAUCGGUAGCUGGUCUGAGAGGAUGACCAGCCACACUGGAACUGAGACACGGUCCAGACUCCUACGGGAGGCAGCAGUGGGGAAUAUUGGACAAUGGGGGCAACCCUGAUCCAGCAAUGCCGCGUGUGUGAAGAAGGCCUGAGGGUUGUAAAGCACUUUCAGUGGGGAGGAGGGUUGAUAGGUUAAGAGCUGAUUAACUGGACGUUACCCACAGAAGAAGCACCGGCUAACUCCGUGCCAGCAGCCGCGGUAAUACGGAGGGUGCGAGCGUUAAUCGGAAUUACUGGGCGUAAAGGGUGCGUAGGUGGUUGAUUAAGUUAUCUGUGAAAUUCCUGGGCUUAACCUGGGACGGUCAGAUAAUACUGGUUGACUCGAGUAUGGGAGAGGGUAGUGGAAUCUCCGGUGUAGCGGUGAAAUGCGUAGAGAUCGGAAGGAACACCAGUGGCGAAGGCGGCUACCUGGCCUAAUACUGACACUGAGGCACGAAAGCGUGGGGAGCAAACAGGAUUAGAUACCCUGGUAGUCCACGCUGUAAACGAUGUCAACUAGCUGUUGG